rnacentral:rRNA from 1 species
CACGGCGAGUGAACAGGGAAAAGCCCAAAUUUGUAAUCUGGCACUUUUUACAAGUGUCCGAGUUGUAAUUUGUAGAGCUGUUAUCCGUACUGGACCAUGUACAAGUCUGUUGAAAAGCAGCAUCAUUGAAGGUGAAAAUCCUGUAGAUGAUAUGGACUACCAGUAUAUUUGUGAUACGGUUUCUAAGAGUCGAGUUGUUUGGGAAUGCAGCUCAAAGUGGGUGGUAAAUUCCAUCUAAGGCUAAAUAUAAGUGAGAGACCGAUAGCAAACAAGUACCGUGAGGGAAAGAUGAAAAGAACUUUGAAAAUAGAGUUAACAGUACGUGAAAUUGCUGAAAGGGAAACGUUUGAAGUUAGUUUUGUAUUCGUUGGAUCAGCUUCGCAAGGAGUGUAUUCUGAUGAUAAGCAAGUCAACAUCAGUCUAUGAGUGUUGGAUAAGGGUUUUGAGAAUGUAGCAAUUUAAUUGUGUUAUAGCUUGAGACUUGGAUACGAUGCUUUGGAUUGAGGAACGCGUAGUAAGCUUUGAGCGGAUUCGAAAGGAUCUCCUUACUAUGGAUGUUGGUGAAAUAACUUUAAGCGACCCGUCU